rnacentral:antisense_RNA from 4 species
CUUCAACGAGCCCAGCCACAGCGGCCGUUGGGCGGCCCGGCCCUGCCCGUACGUGGCCAGCAGCGCCUGCGCCUC